rnacentral:sRNA from 1 species
UCUCAGACAGCCCCAGGCAGGGUCGCCCCAGCAGCAGGGCCUGUGUGCCUCUUCCCUGCUGCCAGCUGGUGACGUCAGACCACCGUCUACCGUGUGCAGGGUUCUGGCCAGCUCCAGUGGCUGUUGGAUAAUUAUGAAACAGCGGAAGGUGUGAGUCUCCCCAGAAGUUCUCUUUACAACCACUACCUUCGGCACUGCCAGGAGCACAAGCUAGACCCAGUGAACGCUGCCUCCUUCGGGAAACUGAUCCGUUCUGUGUUUAUGGGGCUGAGAACGCGGCGGCUGGGCACCAGGGGCAACUCGAAGUACCAUUACUAUGGGAUUCGUCUGAAGCCAGACUCACCACUGAACCGGCUGCAGGAGGACACGCAGUACAUGGCCAUGCGGCAGCAGCCCAUGCACCAGAAGCCCAGGUACCGGCCAGCCCAGAAGACGGACAGCCUCGGGGACAGCGGCUCCCACAGCGGCCUGCACAGCACUCCAGAACAGACCAUGGCCGUGCAGAGCCAGCACCACCAGCAGUACAUAGAUGUCUCUCACGUCUUCCCCGAGUUCCCAGCGCCCG